AAUUGUAUACUAUUUCUCUUCUUAUUUUGUUGACUAACCAAAAGCACAAAAAUAUGUCACUAACUUUGUUUAUUUUGAAGCUUGAGGAAUCAUGCGAUCCAAGGCUCCUAGGAGGCUCCUAUACUCAUUGAUGUAGCCAGGUAAAGUUGAAAGAAAGCAUGGCAAUGGUUCCCAAAGCUCUAAAUCAUCAUAUAUGCCUCCC
rnacentral:lncRNA from 1 species